AGAACCGGUCCAUCCAUUUUUCUUUAAUUAAUAGCCCGCCAAUAGUAAACUGAUACGUAGGCUUCCCACCAACGCAAUCAUGGAGUGCAUCGCAUCAGCCCCCACUCAGUAAUGUUUAUCGAAAUCGAUUUCUCUAGAAACACUCUCAGCUUAGAAGCAAUCCUUUUCAUCUGCCCCCACUUGAAAUCGAUCGCACCACCGCGUAGAAAUGGAGUCAAUUCCUCUGCCACCAUCUCAGCCCUAUCGCACGGCUUCGUCCCCUCUCCCAUCCCUCUCGACUCUUGAUCUAGUGACCCACUUCCGUCUCUCUCUGGUAUGCUCUCUUGUAUUGAUUUCCUCGUAAUAACAAUGCUUAAGAGACCCAUAAAUGAGUUCAUUUCAACCCACAUUGUCUAUACGAGAGGGAGAGGGAAUGACGGGGUUGAAGCAGUAAGAAGGGGCAACCGUGCGAGAGGGAUGCAAAAGAGAGAUGGUGGUGCAAAAUCCGUGAAGGCAACGGACGCUUGGUGUCGGACUGGCGUUUGACUUUGAGAUUUCUAACUUUGAGAUUUUCUGGUCGUGGAGGUGUUUUGGCGGCAGUGCAAAGAAACGAAGCAAAGCAGAGCAGAGUGGAGGAAAAUUAGAUUUCUAGUUAUUUAGUGCGAGUGAGAGUAUUGAGAUUAUUGUGUGAUUUCUAAUGUGCCAGUAGAUGGAAGGAGGGUUCCUUUCCUUCUAAUAACAACUCAACCGCUUAGAAGCGAAACUGUAUAUAUAUAUGUGUGUGCGCACGUGUGUGUGUAUAUAUAUAUUGCAUAAUUGCGGGCAAGCGGUGCAUAGUUAUACCCCAUGUACGUACCCGGCCGGCACGUAGGGUUAGAAUUAAACCCCUUGAAAUUCGAUGAUCAUCAAGACUUAAGCCAAAAAACUGUCGUGUGGUUUUGGGCGGUUUGUCGUGGGAAGAAAUCAAAGCAAUUAAAGACAAGUUCUCUUUUUCUUGUAA